AACUCAUAUAAAGGGCUG
rnacentral:rRNA from 1 species